rnacentral:rRNA from 1 species
UACGAAGGGGGCUAGCGUUGCUCGGAGUCACUGGGCGUAAAGCGCACGUAGGCGGGCUCUUAAGUCGGUGGUGAAAUCCUGGAGCUCAACUCCAGAACUGCCUUCGAUACUGAGAGUCUCGAGUCCGGGAGAGGUGAGUGGAACUGCGAGUGUAGAGGUGAAAUUCGUAGAUAUUCGCAAGAACACCAGUGGCGAAGGCGGCUCACUGGCCCGGUACUGACGCUGAGGUGCGAAAGCGUGGGGAGCAAACAGG